rnacentral:ncRNA from 1 species
GGCGCAGCUCUUGCUAUAGCCCUGUUACAGGUAGCCAAUGGCGGCUGCUUAACAAACGACAAAGACGUCGC